UCAGGAGCGGGAGGUUUUCGCUGCUCUGUGAAGCCAGCCUCACGCGGACCCCUCCACUCUAUGUUGGUGCCUCUAGAUUUGUCGUUGAAUGGUAAAUCUGGGUAUCAAAGUUUCUUUGGGAGGGAAGACCCCAGGAAGUCUAAACCCAGUUUCUCUCUUCUCUGCCAUCAGAAGGAUACUAAACAAAGACGAUGGAAGGAACUAGGCUCUGACAUAUUCUUUCGUGUCUUUUAAGUUCUUGAGACUAUCACACGUGUAAUCUAUUACAUGAGGCCUCAUUAUCAGUAUUUCUUACCAAACAAGUCCCACGGUAGAAUUGGGUUUGAAAAGUAAAGAUUUGAUUUCAAAAGAAUCUCACCUGGAGCCAAAAAAACGCGACUCGACUCCUAAUCGGGGGCGUAUCGCUCUCCUUCAAUCAUCUAAUUCAAAGCAGCAUGCACUUGACUUGAUCCCUCAAGAUGCCAAUUGAACAUAAAGUCUUAAAUCAAUUCGAGGAAAUCUUCGAGCUGGCCCUUUUUGCGCCUCGAUAAUGCAUAGCGUCUCUCCUCCCACUACCAGAUGAAGAUGGCUUCAUAUCCCAAUUAACAUUAUCAAAAAGUGAUUCAUUUUUUCUGUUCAUCAGUUAUUUGAGCAAUUGACAAUCGCUCGUUAUUGACUUAAAACCAAUAGUAAACAAAUCGCAAAAUACCUAAAUCAUCACAAUCCAUCUCGAUGCAUACACAACUCUUAGCUAAAUACGCGAUUUAGCGUAUGACUACGCGAUUUAGUGUAUGACUCGAAGUUUCCUUUCUUUGAUUAUCACAUUUUAUAUUCUCUCGAUCAUGUGCGCGAGAAAAUCUCCAAAGUCUUCUUUUUUUUCCAUGGACCCAGUAAGACAAAUUACAACCCUUCAACUUUCAAACACCAAAAUACAUUAGGGAAACCAAAAUAGGGAGCACAAACUAGUUUUCUAUAUUUUCUACCGCCAGGAGAGCUUCACCUUCGAUCGGCGAUCUUCGAUCAUGUUCGCCACUAAAAAGCGCAGGAGCAUGUGGAAUGCGAGAUCUUCUUUUGUACUCGCGCAAAUGAUAAAUAUAAAAUGAAAACUAAGCAUGAGAGACGAUAGAGAAUAUUAUAAGAUAAAAUUACUAUCAUGGAACAAAUUACUUAGAAAAACGGUCGUGCUUGGAUUUUUUUCUAUUAUGAAGGCAAAAAUAGAAAUUCUAAUUUCUUGCAAUUCAUUCAAGUAUUUUCCUCUUAAAUAUUAAGUCAUGAGCUCUUGAAAGAGUGCAGUAGAGAAGGAAACUUGCUCGUUGGGAUGGCAUUAAGCAACCACUCUUAUGUAAGCAUUAUUAGUUUGGAUUUCAAAUUAAUGCACUUUGAGAAAAACAAACUAAAAAGAACUCAAAAGAAAAAAAAGAGAGGAAAGAAGCCCCUAAAAAUUCAAAACUGUUCAGUCAAUGAGCAUCAAAACUAUAUGGAUGAUGGAAGGCAAGAGGUGUUGAUAUAAUGCUCACAUGAAUUAAGUAAAAUAAAAAUGACACCGUUAAAGAUUGAUACAAGUUUAGGAUUUCUUAUUUCACAAGAUAAAAGCUUAGAAUAAAUGUGUCAUAAUUGAUAUAGUUUGAUUUUUGUUGUCAUAAAAAAUAUUUAAGGAUAAAUAUGCCACGAUAAAUAUGGUCCAAGUUUUUUCAUGGCUUUUGCCCAAAAGAAUAUAUAUACAAUUGGAUGGUUUUAUGUUUUACAGUGUGAGAAUGGAUGGAGAAAUACAUCUUCUCUUUUGUAAUAACAAUAAUAUAAACUUAACACAAUUACCUGUGUGCUGGAAAAAUGAUUUUAGAAAAGCGCGAUUAAGCGGCCUCGGGACGAGUUCGUAUAUCAGGGAAGAAUUGCCCAGAGAAAUUGGCCACACCUUGUCCAGCUGACGUUUCUGGCAGAAAAGUAAGGAUAUUAAUUAUUAAAAAAAAAAAAGGUGGAGAGAAGGAAAGGAAAACAUAAAAAUAAAAAUAAAAAAAGUGGUGGUUCAGUAGGCUUAGCCCAUUGGGUCACGAUGGGCCCGAGAGACACCGGCCCGUUAUCCUUCCACUGUCGAGAGCGGGAGGUUUUCGCUGCUCUGUGAAGCCAGCCUCACGCGGGCCCCUCCACUCUAGGACCCGCGUGGCCCAAGCCUUCGCCCGGACCGCACGGAUCAACUCUCGGCUUGGAAUGGGCGGGCCAGAACAAAGCCACAGCGAGCCCGGCCCGCAGGAGCUAAGCAAAUGUUCCACCACAAUGUUGCCCCCACUCGGGUUACAAGCCCGCGCAACCAGGCUCGGCG
rnacentral:lncRNA from 1 species